AAUAGAGAAGCGCGAAGAUUAAAGCGCCCACACAGUUUGUUUUGAGAUGAAGGGGUCGUAGCUCAGCUGGGAGAGCACCUGCCUUGCACGCAGGGGAUCGGGAGUUCGAUCCUCCCCGGCUCCACCAAGAAGUGGUUGGUGGGAUUAUUCAGAUGUGAAUAUUUUUUUUAUGAGAGUAUUGAUAUCUGGAGAGAUCUAGAAGUUCAUUAACAAUAAGGUAGAGAAAGAGGUAAUACAAGCGAAGUAUGCAUCUAUUUGUGUGUGUAUAUAGCUGAAGGUCACUGUAGGUUUGAGGUGAUUGAGGCUAUAUGGUCAAGAAGAGAAGCGCAAGCGGUGGAUGCCUUGGCAGUAAGAGGCGAAGAAGGACGUGGAAUCCUGCGAAAAGCUUUGGGGAGCUGGAAACGAGCUAAGAUCCGAAGAUGU
rnacentral:misc_RNA from 1 species